GACAGAGGGUGCAAACGUUGUUCGGAAUUACUGGGCGUAAAGCGCGUGUAGGCGGCUCGGCAAGUCGGAUGUGAAAGCCCUGGGCUUAACCUAGGAAGUGCAUUCGAAACUGCCAAGCUUGAGUUCUGGAGAGGAAGGCGGAAUUCUCGGUGUAGAGGUGAAAUUCGUAGAUAUCAGGAGGAACACCAACGGCGAAGGCAGCACUCUGGGCCGGUACUGACGCUGAGGAGCGAAAGCGUGGGGAGCAAACAGG
rnacentral:rRNA from 1 species